UGUCAGUCAAGAAGUUGACCGAGAAAAGUCAGAGAAGAGCAGAAGCAGGAGACGAAGUGAUAAUAGCCAAGCUGGUGGU